CAGUCGCCGCGGGAAUACGGAGGGGGCUAGCGUUGUUCGGAAUUACUGGGCGUAAAGCGCACGUAGGCGGCUUGGUAAGUUAGAGGUGAAAGCCUGGAGCUCAACUCCAGAAUUGCCUUUAAGACUGCCGAGCUAGCAGGUGAGAGAGGUAAGUGGAAUUCCGAGUGUAGAGGUGAAAUUCGUAGAUAUUCGGAAGAACACCAGUGGCGAAGGCGGCUUACUGGCUCAUACUGGACGCUGAGGUGCGAAAGCGUGGGGAGCAAACAGGAUUAGAGACCCGUGUAGUCCCUGUCUCUUAUAC
rnacentral:rRNA from 1 species